GACGAACGCUGGCGGCGUGCUUAACGCAUGCAAGUCGAACGGUGAAGCGCCUUACUUUUUGGUGGGUGUGGAUGAGUGGCGAACGGGUGAGUAACACGUGAGUAACCUGCCCCCUUCUUCUGGAUAACCGCAUGAAAGUGUGGCUAAUACGGGAUAUUCUGGGUCUGUCGCAUGAUGGGUCUGGGAAAGAUAUUGUUUCGGUGGGGGAUGGGCUCGCGGCCUAUCAGCUUGUUGGUGGGGUGAUGGCCUACCAAGGCGGUGACGGGUAGCCGGCCUGAGAGGGUGGACGGCCACACUGGGACUGAGACACGGGCCAGACUCCUACGGGAGGCAGCAGUGGGGAAUAUUGCACAAUGGGCGCAAGCCUGAUGCAGCGACGCCGCGUGAGGGAUGGAGGCCUUCGGGUUGUGAACCUCUUUCGCCAGUGAAGCAGGCCUGCCUCGUUUGUGGGUGGGUUGACGGUAGCUGGAUAAGAAGCGCCGGCUAACUACGUG
rnacentral:rRNA from 1 species